AAAUAGGUAAGCUAAAAAAGCUAUUGGGUUCAUACCCCACUUAUAAAGGUUACCCCUUUCUUAUUUA
rnacentral:tRNA from 1 species